rnacentral:rRNA from 1 species
AGAGUUUGAUCCUGGCUCAGACGAACGCUGGCGGCGUGCUUAACACAUGCAAGUCGAACGAUGAAGCCCUUCGGGGUGGAUUAGUGGCGAACGGGUGAGUAACACGUGGGCAAUCUGCCCUUCACUCUGGGACAAGCCCUGGAAACGGGGUCUAAUACCGGAUAAUACCUGCCUGGGCAUCUGGGUGGGUUAAAAGCUCCGGCGGUGAAGGAUGAGCCCGCGGCCUAUCAGCUUGUUGGUGAGGUAGUGGCUCACCAAGGCGACGACGGGUAGCCGGCCUGAGAGGGCGACCGGCCACACUGGGACUGAGACACGGCCCAGACUCCUACGGGAGGCAGCAGUGGGGAAUAUUGCACAAUGGGCGAAAGCCUGAUGCAGCGACGCCGCGUGAGGGAUGACGGCCUUCGGGUUGUAAACCUCUUUCAGCAGGGAAGAAGCGAAAGUGACGGUACCUGCAGAAGAAGCGCCGGCUAACUACGUGCCAGCAGCCGCGGUAAUACGUAGGGCGCAAGCGUUGUCCGGAAUUAUUGGGCGUAAAGAGCUCGUAGGCGGCUUGUCACGUCGGUUGUGAAAGCCCGGGGCUUAACCCCGGGUCUGCAGUCGAUACGGGCAGGCUAGAGUGUGGUAGGGGAGAUCGGAAUUCCUGGUGUAGCGGUGAAAUGCGCAGAUAUCAGGAGGAACACCGGUGGCGAAGGCGGAUCUCUGGGCCAUUACUGACGCUGAGGAGCGAAAGCGUGGGGAGCGAACAGGAUUAGAUACCCUGGUAGUCCACGCCGUAAACGGUGGGAACUAGGUGUUGGCGACAUUCCACGUCGUCGGUGCCGCAGCUAACGCAUUAAGUCCCCGCCUGGGGAGUACGGCCGCAAGGCUAAAACUCAAAGGAAUUGACGG